rnacentral:lncRNA from 1 species
UCCUGAAUCGUGACAGGGUCCAAGGAAUUGGGGAGCACUUGGAGAGCUAUGGGUAGUAAUUCUCGAAAGAUUUGAAGUUUGAUAUCAAUCCCACCAGGGAAAAGAGCUCCAAGUUGGUGGCACUUCACUAUUAGGUUCUCUGAUAUUCCCCAUGCCAUGCCACGUCCUCCAAAAGGGUUCCGUUUAACCAAUAUGUUCUAUCUUCUUCCUAACAACGAAAAAUUGUGUCUCAAGAUGGGAUUCGGUGGGAACAGUCAGUUCCUAACUUUUAAUUCUUAAACUUGUAACUGCCACUUGAUGGACAGGUGAUUAGAAACAGCCUGUGAUAGCUCUAUUGUAAUCACAAACUGCUACUUAGACCUUAAGUUCAGAUCUGUACCUUUAAUGUCCCAUGUGUGUUACUUCCUGGGGGGUGGGCACCACCGCGCCACCCACAAAACUGGGCAUACCUAUGAAGCAGGUGAGCAUCAAUGACAGGUUACUGAUUGAUCUGAUGAGAGCUGGGUAUCAAACUCUGAGGUAGCUGACCUCUGUCCUCCUCUCUCCUCAGGCAGUUACUCCAGGUGCUUCACUGCCCAGGGCCUGCCAUUCAUGGCUCAGUGCCCCCAUGGUACCACCUCACCCCGUCUUAACAUCCAAGAUUUGUAUUACUUUCAAUAUCCUCUGAUCCUAAAGACACCUUCCUAUUCAAUUUCUUCCCUACACAGUGUUAAACGAGCUAACUGGUUAACUAACCCUUGCUGACAAGCGUUAUGGACGAGGCUUACAGGAGAACCUCAGGAGACGGAGUUACUUUAACCAGAGUCAGGCAGCAGCAAUCCCCCUGCUUUUGUGAUGGCAUAAUGGAGUCAGGAGUCAAGUGGUGGUCCUCACCUCCCAGUGGCUAAUAUGUGAUUCCCUCCUGGCUCCCACAGCACUUUGUAUAUACCUCUCAUUGUAGCACAUGUAUGUAGUUCUUUGAUUGUGUUCAUGUAUGUCCCCCUCCAAUAGACUGUGAGCUCCUCAAGGCCAGGAGCUGUGUGCUAGUCAGUGAUGUAUCCCCAGCACCUAGCCACAGUGCCUGAUACACAGUAGGUGCUCAAUAAAUGUUUAUUGAAAGGCUG